rnacentral:rRNA from 1 species
GCUACGGGGGGCUGCAGUGGGGAAUAUUGGACAAUGGGGGGAACCCUGAUCCAGCGACGCCGCGUGAGUGAAGAAGUAUUUCGGAAUGUAAAGCUCUAUCAGCAGGGAAGAAAAUGACGGUACCUGACUAAGAAGCCCUGGCUAACUACGAGCCAGCAGCCGCGGUAAUACGUAGGGGGCAAGCGUUAUCCGGAUUUACUGGGGGUAAAGGGAGCGUAGACGGUGCAGCAAGUCUGAUGUGAAAGGUCGGGGCUCAACCCCGGGGCGGCAUUGGAAACUGUUGAACUGGAGUACAGGAGAGGUGAGCGGAAUUCCAAGUGUAGCGGUGAAAUGCGUAGAUAUAAGGAGGAACACCAGUGGCGAAGGCGGCUUACUGGACUGUAACUGACGUUGAGGCUCGAAAGCGUGGGGAGCAAACAGGAUUAGAUACCCGAGUAGUC